UACAGAGGGGGCAAGCGUUGUUCGGAAUUACUGGGCGUAAAGGGCGCGUAGGCGGCCUUCUAAGUCGAACGUGAAAUCCCUGGGCUCAACCCAGGAACUGCGUCCGAUACUGGGAGGCUUGAAUCCGGGAGAGGGAUGCGGAAUUCCGGUGAGUGAUGCGGUGGAAUGCGUAGAUAUCGUGAGGAACACCGGUGGCGAAGGCG
rnacentral:rRNA from 1 species